GACGAACGCUGGCGGCGUGCUUAACACAUGCAAGUCGAACGGAAAGGCCCUGCUUGCAGGGUACUCGAGUGGCGAACGGGUGAGUAACACGUGGGUGAUCUGCCCUGCACUUCGGGAUAAGCCUGGGAAACUGGGUCUAAUACCGGAUAGGAGCCAUUUUUAGUGUGAUGGUUGGAAAGUUUUUUCGGUGUAGGAUGAGCUCGCGGCCUAUCAGCUUGUUGGUGGGGUAAUGGCCUACCAAGGCGGCGACGGGUAGCCGGCCUGAGAGGGUGGACGGCCACAUUGGGACUGAGAUACGGCCCAGACUCCUACGGGAGGCAGCAGUGGGGAAUAUUGCACAAUGGGCGCAAGCCUGAUGCAGCGACGCCGCGUGGGGGAUGACGGCCUUCGGGUUGUAAACUCCUUUCGCUAGGGACGAAGCUUUUUGUGACGGUACCUAGAUAAGAGGCACCGGCUAACUACGU
rnacentral:rRNA from 1 species